AAGCCAUGAUGGGGGCAUUUUUAAAGGAGGUCUUUAAAUCUCUCAUAUUCUUCAAAUAAUGUUUCUGACUCUCCUUGCUUAAACACUAAAAUUUCUUGCCUUAGUUU